ACCCCUCUUUGUCUCGUUGUCUGCUUUAGUCGUCUGCUAACCGUUGCCAGGUAAUCCUCCCGCAGCGUUUAUUUUUUUGAAUUCAAGUUAUUAAAUCCACUUUAUAAUUAGAUAUUUAUUACUUCUAUUUAAUUUUAAUAUUUUUUCGCAUUUAUUAGUAUCUCCCUUUUACUUAAUUUUCAUAUAUUUGUGAACAAAACAACACCAGCCCACACAGCUGACUGCUCAGGGCUCACAACAGUCGGAAGCCAUUCAUCGAGCCAUUCACGUGCUCAUUGUAAUUAUCAGAAGGAGCAUGCAGUUUUAACUGUGUUUUACCUGUAGUCCAGGAGUGAUUAUUCUUAAAGACAUUUCAUUAAAAUAUAAGAUAAAUUGUGAUUUCAACAUCGAGGAAGAACCGCGUUCUUUUUGGAAAGCAUUAAGGCUUUUUGUGUUCCUGUCAACUAUUGGGCAACUUGUCACUUUUCAAGACACCAGUUAUCAUCAGUGUUAUACUUUUUAUUUGUGACAACUACUGGCCUGCUUGCUUUUUAGUGAUGGAACCAAUGAAUAUUCCAAUAUCUCAGGAAAAACUCUUACAACUUGUUGACUGGGAUUUUUCAGUAAAACAUAUGGCAAAAUGGUUCGGUGUGUCCCGCUGGACAAUACUCAGAAAACUAAAGCAAUUCAAAAUUUCUCGAAAGAA